UUGCAUGCCACUUUGAUUUCUGUAACGAGUUUCAACUUUCAACAUAUACCUUCUACUAGUAGUGGAAAUCAAGCAUUCGUUGUUUCUUAGGAUUCCUUUAUCUUGGCGAGUGGCUAUUGUGGUCAUCAAUCUACAUCUACUACUUUUGCACUAUCAAGCAACAUGUCUUCGGAGUAAGGGCCUGUUUGUUUAUCCUCCAGAUUAUAUAAUCUAGAUUAAAUAAUCCUAAGAGGCAAACAAACAGUCCAGCUUAUUUGCCCAGAUUAUAUAAUCUAACCCCUUGGAUUAUGAUAAUCCAUAAGCAAGUGGGGAGAUGCUUAUUUCAGAUUAUUUUUUUCCCACUUCCCCACUACCCUUUCAAGUUUCCUAGAAAUUACCCACCAUUGCCAUUAUAAUCCACCGAAUCGGUUUUGCGCCUAGUACUAGUCAAUUUGGGGAUGAAGAAGGUGACAUGAAUGCCUUCCGUGAUAAUAUUGCUAAUGCAAUAUUUGCCAAUGUCAAUUGAAUUUUUUUUUCAUACAUGAGUUUCAACCUAGUACAAAUAUAGAGGGCAUUCUUGUCUUCCUCAUACAAAAGAAUCAUAUUAACAACUCAAAUAAUCUAGGUAAACAAACAGGACUACUCAAUCCAAAAUAAUCCGGAUUAUAUAAUCCAAAUUAUAUAAUCCUCCAAAAAUAAUCCAGAUUAUAUAAUCUAUAGGGGUAAACAAACAGGCCCUAAGACAUGUUUCUUAGGGUUCCUAUUUUUUAUUGGUCAUCGUUUAUCAACAUAUCUUGUUUUCCUUCCUAUAUACUAUUUGUCAUCUUCACUAACCAAAACUGUUUAUCGCAGCUUCGCUAAUCAGAUAUCGAAGCGGAGUAGUUUCUUUUUGGAUCCGCACCAUUCAACUUUGGUUCCAUUCCUUUCAACCGGUUUUAAUUAAGACGCCUCACUCUGAUUUCAAUCAUUACAACCAGUUCAAGACAUUAUACUCCUUUUACUGUCAACCCUGAUUUUACUCUUUUUAUCCUAGUUUAAGAUAGUUCACUAUGAUUUCAGUCAUGUUAUUUUAUUUGCAUUGGUAUGGGUGCCCACGAGUUUCACAUCCAUCAGUUGUGAAUCUAGGUGUCAAAUUCCACUCAUGGGUUUACACCCGACCCGACCUCCUAAAAUGAUGGGAUGUUGGGUUGUGUUUAGGUGUGACUUUUCACCCAUGUGUGCCCGAUGAGUCUUAGAAUACGAAUUUUGAGUCCUUGUUCGCACACGAUUUUAGUCUAGCCCAAUAAAAUCCUAGGUCAUUGUAAUACCCAAGUUGUAAAGAGUAAAAAAAUUGCCUUAUAUGAUUUGCCCCUAUUUAUUAGUACAUGUGAACACCCACAAUUAAAAGUGAAAUAAUUAAUAAAUGACACGUAAGUAAGUAACCUAUGCAUCAUGCUGGACUUCUUUUGUUUGUUUGUGCAUCAAACACAAAAAUUAUAAAGGAGGCAAGUCUAGUUUCGAAUUCAAAUUAGGGCAUCAAAUAAAAUGGGAAUAGUAGAGUUAAAGAAUGUAGGAUAUCCAAUGAUUAUGCUAAUAAAUAAGUGAUAAUUAUCUCAAAAGGAGAUAGUAUUAUUCAUAAUAAGGUUUAAUUAGCCGCAUGAAGGUAUGAAGUUCAAAUCACUAAUUCAAAUUUAUUAGAAAACUUGAAAUUGGCAAAAUAAAAAGAAAUAAGAAAAAGGAAAAUCUCAAACUCGCGUGCUGGGCCGUUAUUUCCAUGGCUCGACCCAUUCCACAGAGUCCAUCGCCCCCGCGCGGCCCACCUCCUACUGCUAGAAUUGACGCACCGGUGGUCACUAAACCGCGGGACCGCCCUAUCACACUAACCACGACCUCGGUCCACUUCUCAGUCUCCCGGACGCUUUCCGCUAGUCAUUGACUGGUGGACCACCCCGGCGGAGGUCUUCUUCUCCGCGAAUCUUGCGUGCGGGCGUAACAGAACGCCGCCGCACCCUCACCACCUCCGCCACGAUCCCCUCGCCCCGCUGACUGGUUAGCCUAUCCACUUGCACAUAUAAGUCGGGAUGGGGCCCCUUGGCCGCGCUCGCGCGUCCCAUGCCAUUGAGAACAGCCCAGCCACUGUUCCAUAGUUCCGAGAAGAGGUUGAGAGAGGGAGAGAGAGAGAGGGAGAGAGGGCACUGCGAGGUCGCAGCGACUCCUCAUCGUCGAGCGUGGUCCAGUGGGUGCCUUGGUGGAGCGCCUAGAAGGGUGAAUUGUAGCGCGUGCCUCCUGGAUGAAUUGUGGCUCUGGUCCCAGGGAAUUCCUCACCAGAAUUUGUAUCUCCAUCGCGGGACCGUCCUCCGCCGUGACCCUGAGUUUCUGUUGCGCCACCGUUGGUGAGGCUUCUCUUGAGUUCACUACCUCUUCCUCGUUGCUUUGCAUCAAGUAGGGGAUCGAACUUGGUCACUGGUUUGGAGUUUGCGAGUGCUCCGGCGAGCCUUAGCCGUGCGCGUUGGGCGGUGCCGCCGUCGGGAUGGCCUGUGGGCAGGGGGGCUAACCGGAGCCGUAGAUCGUUGCGUGGACGAUCGCGAUUAGAUUCAAGAUACCCCCUUCGUCGAUGUUGAUCUGGCGCAUUGAUCAGUGAUCGUGCGAUCGGGACGGGUUUUCCGAUUCAUUAAAUCCUGAACGUGUGACCUAGAUCCGACGGUUGUGAUUAGAAGGCAGGCGCAGGGAUGUAGAUCUAAUCUGUCGCGUGAAUUUUGGAUCCGACGGCCCUGGACCCACGAUGCCUCUUCGCGGAUCAGUUUUGCACAUGAGUCACUCUGUUAUUUUAGAAUAAACCCGCCGUCCACAUUCACUAUUCAUUGAGUCUAGGAAUUAAUGCGCAGAGACCCCUGUGCUUUCCAGAAAAUGAGGCCUAGUCCAGAGUAAUAUACAACCAGAGAAAUUAAAUUAUAAGUGAAUUUUUAAUGUAUAAAUAAAUGCUAGAACUUGUAUAAAUCAUAGAAAAUUCAAAUAAACUCCAAAUUAAUCCAUUUCACUUCCUAUAAUUUUGUAAUAUUAUUCUCUAUCAAAUAGUGUCUCUGUUUUGACAUGAAAAACAUAUUAAAAUGUAUCUCCUAAUUAAUCUUGUAUCAAAUACAUAAAACCUAAGACAAAAUUAAAAUUAUUUCUCUAUUUAAAAAAAUGCUCUGAGCCAUGAUGGAUUCCACACCUUGGAAUCCUACACUUAUGAUCUUUUUAAGAGAUAGGAAACCUAAGACAAAAUUAAAACUAUUUCUCUAUUUUAAAAAAUGUUGGUUGAUUGUUCUGAUGAUCAAUGCCUGAUUUGCUUCUUUGAUUGAUUGAAAUAGUAUAGAUGUCCAUCUUAGCAUGUACCACCAUAAGGUAAUGAAUUAACUUUAGUAUGCAAUACACUUAGCUAAUAAAUCCCCAAAAGUAACAUGCUUCGUAAUUACAUGCCUUGUCCACAAUCCUUUCUUUCUUACCCUGUGUUUCUAACACAGAUGGGCUACCCCUAUCGUGUUAGAAGAGAGCAGUAUAGACGUGAUCCUUGGUAUGUCAUGGUUAAGAAAGGCAAAGGCAGUUUACACACUGUGCUAAAGGAACCAUAGAAUCACCAGUUCCAAAGGAGAAAGAUUUGAAGUUGGUAGAUGGGAAGUUUGUUGGUGACAACAUCCGUGUGGUUAGGGAUUUUUCGAAUGUCUGUAGAAGAGUUAAUAGAACUUAAGAAGCAGUUAACAGAGUUGCAAGAGGCUGGGUACAUUCGACUGAGUUCUUCACCUUGGGGAGCGCCGAUUCUGUUUGUACAAAAGGACGGAUCACAACUGAUGUGUGUGGAUUAUAGGUCCCUUAAUGAUGUUACCGUGAAGAACAAGUACCCGUUACCCCGCAUUGAGGAUUUAUUUGAUCAGAUGAGAGGUGCUAGGGUAUUCUCGAAGAUUGAUCUCCGAUCGGGUUAUCACCAAGUGAAGAUUAGGCCAUCGGAUAUUCCCAAGAUGACUUUCUCAACCUGAUAUGGUUUAUAUGAGUUCACUUUAUGUCAUUUGGACUAACUAAUGCACCAACCUAUUUUAUGAAUCUAAAGAAUAAGGUGAUCAUGAUCUAGACAAAUUCGUCGUGGUUUUCAUCGACGAUAUUCUUAAUUAUUCCAAGAGUGACAGUGAUCAUGAGGAACAUCUGAGAUUGGUGCUACAGAAGCUACGAGAUAAUCAACUUUAUUCCAAGUAUAGCAAAUGCGAGUUAUGGAUUGACAAGGUGCCAUUCCUUGGACAUAUCAUUUCUAAUGGAGGGAUAUCAGUGGAUCCUGCUAAAGUCAAGGAGAUAGUGGCGUGGAGCAUACCCACUACAGUUACUGAGGUCCAGAGUUUCUUGGGACUUGUAGGAUAUUAUUAGAGAUUUAUUGAAGGAUGUUAUAGAUUGCUAAGCCUAUGACCUCACUUCUGGAGAAGGGAAGAGAGUUUAAGUGGGACGAGAAGUUCCAAGAUAGUUUUAACCAACUGAAGUUGAGAUUGAUGUCACCCCUAGUAUUGGUUAUGCUAGAUCUACAGAAGGGAUUUGACAUAUAUUGUGAUGCAUGCGACCAAGGCAUGGGAUGUGUACUUAUGCGAGAAGGACACGUGAUUGCCUACGCGUCUCGUUAGUUGCAGAAACAUGAGUUGAACUACCCCACUCAAGACUUAGAACUGGCAGCCGUAGUGCAUGCUCUAAAGAUAUGGAAGCAUUAUAUCAUGGGAACCAAGUGCCAAGUGUACACGGAUCAUAAGAGUUUGUAGUACAUAUUCACUCAGAAGGAUCUCAAUCUUAGGCAACGCCGAUGGUUGGAGCUUAUUAAGGAUUAUGAUUUGGAAAUUCACUAUCACCUAGGCAAGGUGAAUUUGGUUGCAUAUGCCUUGAGUCAAAAGGAGCAUGUUCAUUCAGCUAUUGUUGCCCAGCUACCCGAUGAGAUUGUUGAGGAUUUCAGGAGACUUAACCUGGGGAUAGUUACUCACAUUGAAGGAGUUACUAUUGAUGUGGAACCUACCUUGGAGCAAGAAAUCCGCAAAGGACAGACUAGCGAUGCUAAAAUACAAGAGAUCAAGGAUCUUAUUACUGAAGGUAGAGGUUCAGAGUUCACGAAGGAUGAGCAAGGCACCGUAUGGUUCAAGGACAGGAUAUGUGUUCCUGAUAUUGAUAGCCUUCGUGAGACUAUAUUGAAGGAGGCCCAUGAUUUAGAUUAUUCUAUUCAUCCUGGUAGCACCAAGAUGUAUCAGGAUUUGAAGCAGAAAUACUGGUGGUAUGGAUUGAAGAGAGAUGUGUGUCAAAGAGUUAAGGCUGAACACCAGAGGCCAACUGGACUACUGCAUCCACUAAAGAUACCCAAGUGGAAGUGGGAAGAGAUUGGUAUGGAUUUCAUUACUGGAUUGCCUCGCACCCAGAAAGGAUAUGACUCUAUAUGGGUGAUUGUGGAUAGACUGACUAAAGUAGCCCACUUCAUUCCUGUCAAGACUACUUAUAAAGGCUCUCAGCUAGCAGAGCUGUAUAUGGCUCGAAUUGUGUGUUUACAUGGAGUACCAAAGAAGAUCGUGUCUGAUCAAGGUUCACAGUUUACCUCAAGAUUCUGGAGAAGCUUUCAUGAGAAUAUGAAUACAAAGUUGAAUUUUAGUACGACUUAUCACCCUCAGACUGAUGGACAGACUGAAAGGACUAAUCAAGUAUUGGAAGAUAUGUUGAGAGCUUCUACCCUUCAGCAUGGAGGCAGUUGGGAUAAAAGUCUACCAUAUGCUAAGUUCUCAUAUAAUAAUAGUUACCAGACCAGUCUGAAGAUGUCACCAUUCGAGGCUUUAUAUGGCACGAAAUGCAGGACUCCUCUAUAUUGGGAUCAGACUGGAGAAAGACAGUUCUUUGGGCCUGAACUGAUUCAAGAGGCAGAAGAACAAGUCUGCAUAAUUCGAGAGAAUUUGAGGGUAGCUCAAACAAGGCAAAAGAGCUAUGCUGAUAAUAGGAGUCCACUGGAAUUUGAGGAAGGAGAUCAUGUGUACCUCAAGGUGUCACCACUUCGUGGAAUGAGGAGAUUCAAGGUUAAGGGCACAUUGUCCCCUCGCUUUAUUGGACCAUUCAGAAUCUUUAGGCGAGUUGGGGAUAUGGCAUACCAGCUCGAGCUACCGGAUAAUCUAUCUGAUGUGCAUAAUGUAUUCCAUGUGUCUCAACUAAAGAAGUGUCUUCGUGUCCCUGAGAACAAUUACCAAUGAAGGAGCUCAGUGUUCAGGGAGAUUUGACUUACACGGAGUAUCCUAUUAAGAUUCUUGACACUUUGACUCGAGUUACAAGAAAUAAGGUGAUAAAGAUGUGCAAAGUACAAUGGAGUCAUAAUGGAGAAGAUGAAGCUACUUGGAGAGAGAAGAAGAGCUUCGCAUAGAUUUUCCCCAUCUUUUCUCUAGUUCUUCCUAAAUCUCGAGGACGAGAUUCUUGUUAAGGGGGGUAGGAUUUGUAAUACCCAAGUUGUAAAGAGUAAAAAAAUUGCCUUAUAUGAUUUGCCCCUAUUUAUUAGUACAUGUGAACACCCACAAUUAAAAGUGAAUUAAUUAAUAAAUGACACGUAAGUAACCUAUGCAUCAUGUUGGACAUCUUUUGUUUGUUUGUGCAUCAAACACAAAAUUUAUAAAGGAGGCAAGUCUAGUUUCGAAUCAAAUUAGGGCAUCAAAUAAAAUGGGAAUAGUAGAGUUAAAGAAUGGAGGAUAUCCAAUGAUUAUGCCAAUAAAUAAGUGAUAAUUAUCUCAAAAGGAGAUAGUAUUAUUCAUAAUAAGGUUUAAUUAGCCACAUGAAGGUAUGAAGUUCAAAUCACUAAUUCAAAUUUAUUAGAAAACUUGAA
rnacentral:lncRNA from 1 species